AAGUCAGAUGUGAAAGCCCAGGGCUCACCCUUGGAACUGCAUUUGAUACUGGCAAACUAGAGUAUGGUAGAGGAAUGGGGAAUUUCUGGUGUAGCGGUGAAAUGCGUAGAGAUCAGAAGGAACACCAAUGGCGAAGGCAACAUUCUGGACCAAUACUGACACUGAGGGACGAAAGCGUGGGGAUCAAACAGGAUUAGAUACCCUGGUAGUCCACGCUGUAAACGAUGAGUACUAGCUGUUGGAUUCGGUGUAAAGGAUCUAGUGGCGUAGCUAACGCGUUAAGUACUCCGCCUGGGGACUACGGCCGCAAGGCUAAAACUCAAAGGAAUUGACGGGGACCCGCACAAGCGGUGGAGCAUGUGGUUUAAUUCGAUGCAACGCGAAGAACCUUACCUGGUCUUGACAUCCUGCGAACUUUCUAGAGAUAGAUUGGUGCCUUCGGGAACGCAGUGACAGGUGCUGCACGGCUGUCGUCAGCUCGUGUUGUGAAAUGUUGGGUUAAGUCCCGCAACGAGCGCAACCCCUAUUGAUAGUUACCAUCAUUAAGUUGGGUACUCUAUUGAGACUGCCGCUGACAAGGCGGAGGAAGGUGGGGACGACGUCAAGUCAUCAUGGCCCUUACGACCAGGGCUACACACGUGCUACAAUGGGUAUUACAGAGGGCAGCGAAGUAGCGAUAUGGAGCGAAACUCAGAAAGGUACUCUUAGUCCGGAUUGCAGUCUGCAACUCGACUGCAUGAAGUCGGAAUCGCUAGUAAUCGCAGGUCAGAAUACUGCAGUGAAUACGUUCCCGGGUCUUGUACACACCGCCCGUCACACCAUGGGAGUGGGUUGCUCCAGAAGUAGAUAGCUUAACG
rnacentral:rRNA from 1 species